CCUACGGGGGGCAGCAGUGAGGAAUAUUGGUCAAUGGGCGGAAGCCUGAACCAGCCAAGUCGCGUGAGGGAAUAAGGCCCUCCGGGUCGUAAACCUCUUUUGCCGGGGAGCAAGGGCGGGGACGUGUCCCGGCCCGGAGAGUACCCGGAGAAAAAGCAUCGGCUAACUCCGUGCCAGCAGCCGCGGUAAUACGGAGGUUGCGAGCGUUAUCCGGCUUUAUUGGGUUUACAGGGUGCGUAGGCGGGCUUUUACGUCCGCGGGAAAAAUUCGGGGCUUAACCCCGUCCUGCCGUUGAAACUGGGGGCCUUGAGUGGGGGAGAGGAAGGCGGAAUGCGUGGUGUAGCGGUGAAAUGCAUAGAUAUCACGCAGAACCCCGAUUGCGAAGGCAGCCUUCCGGCGCCCUACUGACGCUGAGGCACGAAAGUGCGGGGAUCGAACAGGAUUAGAGACCCGAGUAGUC
rnacentral:rRNA from 1 species